GAUGAAGAACGUAGCGAAAUGCGAUAAGUAGUGUGAAUUGCAGUAUUCAGUGAAUCAUCGAAUCUUUGAACGCACAUUGCGCCCCAUGGUAUUCCGUGGGGCAUGCCUGUUCGAGCGUCAUUUACCCCCUCAAGCUCCGCUUGGUGUUGGGCGUCUGUCCCGCUUCGCGCGCGGACUCGCCCCAAAGGUAUUGGCAGCGGUCGUGCCAGCUUCUCGCGCAGCACAUUGCGCUUCUCGAGGCACCGGUGGGCCCGCGUCCAUCAAGCUCACCCCCCCAGUUUGACCUCGGAUCAGGUAGGGAUACCCGCUGAACUUAAGCAUAUCAAUAAGCGGAGGA
rnacentral:misc_RNA from 1 species